AUGAUAGGUCUCUUUUGGAAUUGUAGGGGGGCAGGUAAAAAAGGGAUGAAAACAAGCCUAUCCCAUAUCAUUAGUGACCAUUCCCUUGAUUUCGAAACUUUUAAAAAGAAUUUUCUGGAGAGCUAUUUCAGAAAACUCGAGCCACAUAAAUUGUUGGAGUGGGAGUGGAUUCCUUCUAUUGGCAAAGUUGGGGGCAUUUUAUGUGGGGUUAGAAAAGAUAAGUUUGAAGUAAUUGCCUGGAGGAAAGGUAGAUUUAUUCUUCAGGUAUCAUUGUAUGAUAUCAAUAUGAAGAAAAUUUGGACCCUAUGUACUGUUUACGGAGCGGCCCAUGAGUGUGAUAAAAAUGAGUUUCUCAGUGAGUUUGCAUAUUUCUGUUGUCAUAUUCAAACACCAUUAUUAAUCGGAGGUGAUUUCAAUAUCCUCAGACAUAGUGGAGAGAAAAACAAAUGA
rnacentral:rRNA from 1 species